rnacentral:tRNA from 1 species
GCAUUAGUAGCUCAGCUUCAAGAGCGCCGGCCUUGUAAGCCGGAGGCCGGGGGUUUAAACCCCUACUACUGCU